GUUAUUAAAGUUCAAAUAAAGAAUGCGGGAUUUGUAAUUCUGAGGGUAGAGUAACUUUGAUAAGU
rnacentral:tRNA from 1 species